GAACCCUGAGAAAGAAGAGAUCCCCUGGAAUGCCUGCGGAGGUCAACAUCUCUCUCCCAAGGCACCUCCUAGGAGGCUCUGCACUGGUGCCAUGAGGCCGCGGCACGGGAAACACUCCAGAGCCAACUGCUUCCUUCUCCAAACAAUGCAGGAUCCUGCUAACCAGGCUGAAAUCUGGGACAGAACACAGGAGGCGGGACCAGGUUCCCUGGCACAAGUCACCACUAACUCAGGGACCCUUGCAUGGUCCCACUCAACAGCCCAGGUUCCCCAGGGACAAGCAAGCUCUCCUACAAGCUCUGGAUGGAAGGCAGAGUAAAGAAUCCAAGGGGCAGGGAAGACCCCAGAAGAGAAUUCAGGGUGUGCGUGAGAGAAGACAUUCUGGGUUUGGGGUUAAAGUAAAAUUAGGAUAAGGAAGGUCUUUGCAAAGGUAAGCAAAGGCUGGUUGGUUUGGGUUUUGUUGGUACGGGGGAUAGAACCCAGGGCCUUAAGCAUGCUAAAGUGUGCCCUGCCAACCCCCUGAGCUGCACCCAACCCCAGGAAGAGGGUAUGGGUUUGGAAAGGAUCUGAGUUAGGGCUGGGCCUGGGGUGACAUGAUUGGAAGGCCCAGGUAAGGCGGGUGAUAGGGAACAAUAAAACAAACAAAAAGCACUGAAAACAA